GUUUCAAACAGAGAUAAGCAAUAUUAGCAAAACUUUCAAUAUCAAAAUUCCAUAAUUUAGGGUGCACCAUUUUCAAAUUCAUUAUAUUUUCCAGUCACUGGGGGAUAGCUAUUUGAUUAACAUAUAUCUGAAAAUCCAAAUGCACAAAGAAGCACUAAUAUCCACACAACCCAAGGAUAUUAGAGAGUAAGGAUAUUCACUUGAUUGCAAAGAAAAGGCAUUAUUGACCAAAAUUAGAGUCCAUAUUUCACCAAGUAAGAAAGAAAAAAUAUAGUCAUAG
rnacentral:misc_RNA from 1 species